CCUACGGGCGGCUGCAGUGGGGAAUAUUGCACAAUGGGCGCAAGCCUGAUGCAGCCAUGCCGCGUGUGUGAAGAAGGCCUUCGGGUUGUAAAGCACUUUCAGCGGGGAGGAAGGCGUUAAGGUUAAUAACCUUGGCGAUUGACGUUACCCGCAGAAGAAGCACCGGCUAACUCCGUGCCAGCAGCCGCGGUAAUACGGAGGGUGCAAGCGUUAAUCGGAAUUACUGGGCGUAAAGCGCACGCAGGCGGUCUGUCAAGUCGGAUGUGAAAUUCCCGGGCUCAACCUGGGAACUGCAUUCGAAACUGGCAGGCUAGAGUCUUGUAGAGGGGGGUAGAAUUCCAGGUGUAGCGGUGAAAUGCGUAGAGAUCUGGAGGAAUACCGGUGGCGAAGGCGGCCCCCUGGACAAAGACUGACGCUCAGGUGCGAAAGCGUGGGGAGCAAACAGGAUUAGAUACCCUUGUAGUC
rnacentral:rRNA from 1 species